rnacentral:lncRNA from 10 species
GUUCCUGUUGCUCCACAUCCUCACCAGCAUUUGGUGUUGUCAGUGUUUUGGGUUUUGGCCGUUCUAAUAGGAGCAAUGUCAGUCUUUGAGGAAAACGGAAACAGAGGAAUGCAGAGAAAAAUGGAAGCAGGAAUGCAAAGGGGAAGGAGGACAAAGAAAGAGAGGAAGAAUCACCUACUAUAUGCCCUUCCUGCAUGUACUGUGUUCAUCUGGUGAGUUAUGAAAAGGAAGGAAGAAGAUCUGAAGGGAGGUAGGACUGAGAGGAGGAUGAGGAGCACAUUCCAGAGGAUUCGAGAACUCUCACAGAGGACCUAAGAGAGUCACAGAUCCAAGACAAAGAACCCCUCCCCUCCCACCUCAAGCAUAGUUUGUCUUUAGUGAAAUGGCCCUGUCCUAUCAAUCAUGUAUCCUUUUCUUUUCAGUUUCUUCCUGAGCUGGGAAGGAAGUUUUUUAUUUCUGUUUCGGUUUCCGUGGCACUAUCAAGAGAAAAUCAUGUGAAUGUGAGGUUUGAGAUUCUCUGAUUCUUUUUGUUGUUGUUUUUUCUGAGACAAAGUCUCACUCUGUCACCCAGGCUGGAGUGCAUUGGUAUGAUCUUGACUCACUGCAACCUCUGCC